rfam:Veillonella sp. oral taxon 780 str. F0422 ctg1127947897858, whole genome shotgun sequence.
UCCUCGAUAGCUCAGCAGGUAGAGCAAUCGGCUGUUAACCGAUCGGUCGUAGGUUCGAGUCCUACUCGAGGAG